rnacentral:misc_RNA from 1 species
GUGUCUUGCGGUUUGUGUGCCUUCGGGCCGAGGCUGCGAGUCCUUUGAAAUGUACUGAACUGUACUUCUCUUUGCUCGAAAAGCGUGGUGUUGCUGGUUGUGGAGGCUGCCUGCGUGGCCAGUCGGCGACCGGUUUGUCUGCUGCGGCGUUUAAUGGAGGAGUGUUCGAUUCGCGGUAUGGUUGGCUUCGGCUGAACAGGCGCUUAUUGUAUGCUUUUCCUGCUGUGGCGUGAUGGGCUGGUGAACCGUAGCUGUGUGUGGCUUGGCUUUUGAAUCGGCUUUGCUGUUGCGAAGUAGAGUGGCGGCUUCGGCUGUCGAGUGUCGAUCCAUUUUGGGAACU